AUGAAGAGUUUGAUCCUGGCUCAGGAUGAACGCUAGCGGCAGGCUUAACACAUGCAAGUCGAGGGGUAACAGAGAAAGCUUGCUUUCUGCUGACGACCGGCGCACGGGUGCGUAACGCGUAUGCAACCUACCUUAUACUGGGGAAUAGCCCGAAGAAAUUCGGAUUAAUGCCCCAUAGUAUUGUCGAUUCGCAUGUUUUGACAAUUAAAGAUUACGGUAUAAGAUGGGCAUGCGUCCCAUUAGCUAGAUGGUAAGGUAACGGCUUACCAUGGCAACGAUGGGUAGGGGGCCUGAGAGGGUGAUCCCCCACACUGGUACUGAGACACGGACCAGACUCCUACGGGAGGCAGCAGUGGGGAAUCUUAGACAAUGGGCGCAAGCCUGAUCUAGCCAUGCCGCGUGAGUGAUGAAGGCCUUAGGGUCGUAAAGCUCUUUCGCCUGUGAAGAUAAUGACUGUAGCAGGUAAAGAAACCCCGGCUAACUCCGUGCCAGCAGCCUCGGUAAUACGGAGGGUACAAACGUUAAUCGGAAUUACUGGGCGUAAAGCGCGCGUAGGCGGUUUG
rnacentral:rRNA from 11 species